CAGUAGCCGCGGUAAAACAGAGGGUGCGAGCGUUAAUCGGAUUUACUGGGCGUAAAGCGUGCGUAGGCGGCUUCUUAAGUCGGAUGUGAAAUCCCUGAGCUUAACUUAGGAAUUGCAUUCGAUACUGGGAAGCUAGAGUAUGGGAGAGGAUGGUAGAAUUCCAGGUGUAGCGGUGAAAUGCGUAGAGAUCUGGAGGAAUACCGAUGGCGAAGGCAGCCAUCUGGCCUAAUACUGACGCUGAGGUACGAAAGCAUGGGGAGCAAACAGGAUUAGAUACCCGUGUAGUCCCUGUCUCUUAUAC
rnacentral:rRNA from 1 species